AGGGCAGACUGAAAAAGGUGAAUCGUGACAAGCUAAUUGGUGACGAUUCACCUUCUUCAGUCUGCCCU
rfam:Nematostella vectensis strain CH2 x CH6 NEMVEscaffold_84_Cont11305, whole genome shotgun sequence.